UACGUAGGGGGCAAGCGUUGUCCGGAUUUAUUGGGCGUCAAGAGCGUGUAGGCGGCUUUGCAAGUCCGUUGUGAAAACUCGAGGCUCAACCUCGAGACGCCGGUGGAAACUGCAAAGCUAGAGUCCGGAAGAGGAGACUGGAAUUUACGGUGUAGCGGUGAAAUGCGUAGAUAUCGUAAGGAAGACCAGUGGCGAAGGCGGGUCUCUGGACAGUUCCUGACGCUGAGGCACGAAGGCCAGGGGAGCAAACGGG
rnacentral:rRNA from 1 species